rnacentral:rRNA from 1 species
CGGACGGGUGAGUAACGCGUGGGUAACCUGCCUCAUACAGGGGGAUAACAGUUAGAAAUGACUGCUAAUACCGCAUAAGCGCACAGUGCUGCAUGGCACAGUGUGAAAAACUCCGGUGGUAUGAGAUGGACCCGCGUUGGAUUAGGCAGUUGGCGGGGUAACGGCCCACCAAACCGACGAUCCAUAGCCGGCCUGAGAGGGUGAACGGCCACAUUGGGACUGAGACACGGCCCAA